rnacentral:rRNA from 1 species
UAAGCAUAUAUACCGUGAAACUGCGAAUGGCUCAUUAAAUCAGUUAUCGUUUAUUUGAUAGUACCUUACUACUUGGAUAACCGUGGUAAUUCUAGAGCUAAUACAUGCUAAAAACCCCGACUUACGAAGGGGUGUAUUUAUUAGAUAAAAAACCAAUGCCCUUCGGGGCUCCUUGGUGAUUCAUAAUAACUUAACGAAUCGCAUGGCCUUGUGCCGGCGAUGGUUCAUUCAAAUUUCUGCCCUAUCAACUUUCGAUUGUAUGGUCUUGGCUUACAAUGGUUUCAACGGGUAACGGGGAAUUAGGGUUCUAUUCCGGAGAGUUAGCCCGAGAAAUAGCUAACACAUCCAAGGAAGGCAGCAGGCGCGCAAAUUACCCAAUCCCGACACGGGGAGGUAGUGACAAUAAAUACUGAUACAGGGCUCUUUUGGGUCUUGUAAUUGGAAUGAGUACAAUUUAAAUCCCUUAACGAGGAACAAUUGGAGGGCAAGUCUGGUGCCAGCAGCCGCGGUAAUUCCAGCUCCAAUAGCGUAUAUUAAAGUUGUUGCAGUUAAAAAGCUCGUAGUUGAACCUUGGGCCUGGCUGGCCGGUCUGCCUAACCGCAUGUACUGGUCCGGCUGGGUCUUUCCUUUUGGGGAGCCUCAUGCACUUAAUUGGGCGUGUAGGGGAACCAAAACUUUUACUUUGAAAAAAUUAGAGUGUUCAAAGCAGGCCUAUGCUCGAAUACAUUAGCAUGGAAUAAUAGAAUAGGACGUUGUGGUUCUAUUUUGUUGGUUUCUAGGACCGCCGUAAUGAUUAAUAGGAACAGUCAGGGAUACUUGUAUUUCCGAGUCAGAGGUGAAAUUCUUGGAUUUCGGAAAGACAAACUACUGCGAAAGCAUUUAUCAGGGAUGUUUUCAUUAAUCAGUGAACGAAAGUUAGGGGAUCGAAGACGAUCAGAUACCGUCGUAGUCUUAACCAUAAACUAUGCCGACUAGGGAUCGGGCGAUGUUAUCUUUUUGACUCGCUCGGCACCUUACGAGAAAUCAAAGUCUUGGGUCUGGGGGA